rnacentral:ncRNA from 1 species
UUGAGCCGGAUGUGGUGAAAGCCACACGUCCGGUUCUUAGGGGAGUGAGUGAGCCGGUAACGGCUCUAUGGGGUGGCAACACCCCCCGCUUACCCGAC